GAUGAACGCUGGCGGCGUGCCUAACACAUGCAAGUCGAACGAACCUUCGGGUUAGUGGCGGACGGGUGAGUAACGCGUGAGAAUCUGCCCUCAGGAGGGGGACAACAGCUGGAAACGGCUGCUAAUACCCCAUAUGCCGCGAGGUGAAAUGAAUUUCGCCUGAGGAUGAGCUCGCGUCUGAUUAGCUAGUUGGUGAGGUAAUGGCUCACCAAGGCUUCGAUCAGUAGCUGGUCUGAGAGGAUGAUCAGCCACACUGGGACUGAGACACGGCCCAGACUCCUACGGGAGGCAGCAGUGGGGAAUUUUCCGCAAUGGGCGAAAGCCUGACGGAGCAACGCCGCGUGAGGGACGAAGGCCUCUGGGCUGUAAACCUCUUUUCUCAAGGAAGAAGAUAUGACGGUACUUGAGGAAUAAGCCACGGCUAAUUCCGUGCCAGCAGCCGCGGUAAUACGGGAGUGGCAAGCGUUAUCCGGAAUUAUUGGGCGUAAAGCGUCCGCAGGCGGCUUUUCAAGUCUGCUGUUAAAGCGUGGAGCUUAACUCCAUCAUGGCAGUGGAAACUGAAAGGCUUGAGUAUGGUAGGGGCAGAGGGAAUUCCCGGUGUAGCGGUGAAAUGCGUAGAUAUCGGGAAGAACACCAGUGGCGAAGGCGCUCUGCUGGGCCAUUACUGACGCUCAUGGACGAAAGCCAGGGGAGCGAAAGGGAUUAGAUACCCCUGUAGUCCUGGCCGUAAACGAUGAACACUAGGUGUCGGGGGAAUCGACCCCUUCGGUGUCGUAGCUAACGCGUUAAGUGUUCCGCCUGGGGAGUACGCACGCAAGUGUGAAACUCAAAGGAAUUGACGGGGGCCCGCACAAGCGGUGGAGUAUGUGGUUUAAUUCGAUGCAACGCGAAGAACCUUACCAGGGUUUGACAUCCUGCGAACCUCUUAGAAAUUUGAGGGUGCCUUCGGGAAUGCAGUGACAGGUGGUGCAUGGCUGUCGUCAGCUCGUGUCGUGAGAUGUUGGGUUAAGUCCCGCAACGAGCGCAACCCACGUUUUUAGUUGCCAGCAUUUAGUUGGGCACUCUAGAAAGACCGCCGGUGAUAAACCGGAGGAAGGUGUGGAUGACGUCAAGUCAUCAUGCCCCUUACACCCUGGGCUACACACGUACUACAAUGCUACGGACAAAGGGCAGCAAACUCGCGAGAGCUAGCAAAUCCCAUAAACCGUGGCUCAGUUCAGAUCGUAGGCUGCAACUCGCCUACGUGAAGUAGGAAUCGCUAGUAAUCGCAGGUCAGCAUACUGCGGUGAAUACGUUCCCGGGCCUU
rnacentral:rRNA from 1 species